GUAUCAUGGCUCAGGAUGAACGCUGGCGGCGUGCCUAACACAUGCAAGUCGAACGGACUUACAUUGAAGCCUAGCGAUAUGUAAGUUAGUGGCGGACUGGUGAGUAACGCGUGGGUAAUCUGCCUUGUACCGGGGGACAACAGUUGGAAACGACUGCUAAUACCGCAUAAGCGCACAGCUUCGCAUGAAGCAGUGUGAAAAACUCCGGUGGUACAAGAUGGACCCGCGUCUGAUUAG
rnacentral:rRNA from 1 species